CAGCGCCACGAGUGGCAAUCGUUUUUAUUUGGCCUAAAGCGUCCGUAGCUGGUUUUGUAAAUCUCUUGUGAAAUCGUUCGGCUUAACCGAACGGCGUGCAGGAGAGACUGCAAGACUAGGGACCGGGAGGAGUCAGAGGUAUGCAGAGGGGAGCGGUAAAAUGCUAUAAUCCUCCGUAGACCACCUGUGGCGAAGGCGUCUGACUAGAACGGGUCCGACAGUGAGGGACGAAAGCCAGGGGAGCAAACCGGAUUAGAUACCCGAGUAGUCC
rnacentral:rRNA from 1 species